rnacentral:misc_RNA from 1 species
CGAGGUUUCUUUUCUCUGGCAAGUCGAUUUUUGAAGAAUGUGAUGUAGUUUCUUUCAGCAUCAUGGUUUGAUUUGUGUUCUUCAACGAUGGUGACUUGGGACGGGAAAAUUAUUCGAAGGAUGAGGGUUCCUAAGACGGUCUGGUUAAUUUUCCAAAAAACUAUGGGGCUCCUCGUGGGUGGAAAUCACACAUCAUCCAGGUUUUGUACUCGCUAAGUUUUUCUUUUGUUCAAUCUGGGUUUUGUUUCUCUCUGUUAUUGUUAUUUUGAGGAAUUAUUCCUAUUUGCUUCGUCCUUCACGACGUUAAACGAACUCUGAGCGGGGGGCUGG